CCUCCUCGAUCUGUUGCGGGCAGAUGUAGUGGAUAUGGCUGUCGAACCCGCCGGCCGUGAGGAUCUUGCCCUCUCCCGCGAUCACUUCGGUGCCGGGGCCGACGAUGAUGUCGACGCCCGGCUGGAUGUCCGGGUUGCCGGCCUUGCCCAGCUUAAAGAUCCGCCCCUUCACGAUGCCGACAUCGCAUUUCACCACGCCCCAAUGGUCGAGGACCACGGCGUUGGUGAUGACGGUGUCCACCGCGCCAUCGGCAUUCGUCACCUGCGACUGCCCCAUCCCGUCGCGGAUG
rnacentral:sRNA from 1 species